GACGAACGCUGGCGGCGUGCUUAACACAUGCAAGUCGAACGGUAAGGCUCCAGCUUGCUGGGGUACACGAGUGGCGAACGGGUGAGUAACACGUGGGUGACCUGCCCUGCACUUCGGGAUAAGCCUGGGAAACUGGGUCUAAUACCGGAUAGGACCGCACCGUGAGGGUGUGGUGGAAAGUUUUUUCGGUGUGGGAUGGGCCCGCGGCCUAUCAGCUUGUUGGUGGGGUAAUGGCCUACCAAGGCGGCGACGGGUAGCCGGCCUGAGAGGGUGGACGGCCACAUUGGGACUGAGACACGGCCCAGACUCCUACGGGAGGCAGCAGUGGGGAAUAUUGCACAAUGGGCGGAAGCCUGAUGCAGCGACGCCGCGUGGGGGAUGACGGCCUUCGGGUUGUAAACUCCUUUCACCAUCGACGAAGGGUUUCUGACGGUAGAUGGAGAAGAAGCACCGGCUAACUACGUGCCAGCAGCCGCGGUAAUACGUAGGGUGCGAGCGUUGUCCGGAAUUACUGGGCGUAAAGAGCUCGUAGGUGGUUUGUCGCGUCGUCUGUGAAAUUCCGGGGCUUAACUCCGGGCGUGCAGGCGAUACGGGCAUAACUUGAGUACUGUAGGGGAGACUGGAAUUCCUGGUGUAGCGGUGAAAUGCGCAGAUAUCAGGAGGAACACCGGUGGCGAAGGCGGGUCUCUGGGCAGUAACUGACGCUGAGGAGCGAAAGCAUGGGGAGCGAACAGGAUUAGAUACCCUGGUAGUCCAUGCCGUAAACGGUGGGCGCUAGGUGUGGGUUUCCUUCCACGGGAUCCGUGCCGUAGCUAACGCAUUAAGCGCCCCGCCUGGGGAGUACGGCCGCAAGGCUAAAACUCAAAGGAAUUGACGGGGGCCCGCACAAGCGGCGGAGCAUGUGGAUUAAUUCGAUGCAACGCGAAGAACCUUACCUGGGCUUGACAUAUACAGGAUCGCGCCAGAGAUGGUGUUUCCCUUGUGGCUUGUAUACAGGUGGUGCAUGGUUGUCGUCAGCUCGUGUCGUGAGAUGUUGGGUUAAGUCCCGCGACGAGCGCAACCCUUGUCUUAUGUUGCCAGCACGUUGUGGUGGGGACUCGUAAGAAACUGCCGGGGUUAACUCGGAGGAAGGUGGGGAUGACGUCAAAUCAUCAUGCCCCUUAUGUCCAGGGCUUCACACAUGCUACAAUGGUCGGUACAGUGGGUUGCCAGUCCGUGAGGGCGGGCUAAUCCCGCAAAGCCGGUCUCAGUUCGGAUCGGGGUCUGCAACUCGACCCCGUGAAGUCGGAGUCGCUAGUAAUCGCAGAUCAGCAACGCUGCGGUGAAUACGUUCCCGGGCCU
rnacentral:rRNA from 1 species